rnacentral:rRNA from 1 species
UUCCAGCUCCAGAAGCGUAUGCUAAUGUUGUUGCAGUUAAAAAGCUCGUAGUUGAAUCUCUGGUUAGCCUGACCGAGCCUUUGGAUGAAUGUCCACUGUUUGCUUGUUUGUCGGGCGCGCCAUCUUGGCAAUGCUUUAGGGUGUUGCCUCGUUCACUGUAAAGAAAGCAGAGUGUUCAAAGCAGGUCGUAGAUCUGAAUGUUUAUUAUGGGAUGAUAAGAUAGGGCUUGUGCGCUAUUUUGUUGGUUUGCACGCGCAAGUAAUGAUUGAUGGGAACAGUUGGGGCUAUUCGUAUUUGGCUGCUAGAGGUGAAAUUCUUGGAUUUGCAAAAGACGAACUACGGCGAAGGCAUUUAGCAAAGAUGUUUUCAUCA